rnacentral:rRNA from 1 species
UGCUAAUACCGGAUAACAACACUAGACGCAUGUCUAGAGUUUAAAAGAUGGUUCUGCUAUCACUCUUGGAUGGACCUGCGGUGCAUUAGCUAGUUGGUAAGGUAACGGCUUACCAAGGCAAUGAUGCAUAGCCGAGUUGAGAGACUGAUCGGCCACAUUGGGACUGAGACACGGUCCAAACUCCUACGGGAGGCAGCAGCC